UAAAGAUUCAUCGCUGAUAGAUAGGCAUGCGUUCCAUUAGGCAGUUGGCGGGGUAACGGCCCACCAAACCGACGAUGGAUAGGGGUUCUGAGAGGAAGGUCCCCCACAUUGGUACUGAGACACGGACCAAACUCCUACGGGAGGCAGCAGUGAGGAAUAUUGGUCAAUGGGCGUAAGCCUGAACCAGCCAAGUCGCGUGAGGGAUGAAGGUUCUAUGAAUCGUAAACCUCUUUUAUAAGGGAAUAAAGUGCGGGACGUGUCCCGUUUUGUAUGUACCUUAUGAAUAAGGAUCGGCUAACUCCGUGCCAGCAGCCGCGGUAAUACGGAGGAUCCGAGCGUUAUCCGGAUUUAUUGGGUUUAAAGGGUGCGUAGGCGGCCUUUUAAGUCAGCGGUGAAAGUCUGUGGCUCAACCAUAGAAUUGCCGUUGAAACUGGGAGGCUUGAGUAUGUUUGAGGCAGGCGGAAUGCGUGGUGUAGCGGUGAAAUGCUUAGAUAUCACGCAGAACCCCGAUUGCGAAGGCAGCCUGCCAAGCCAUGACUGACGCUGAUGCACGAAAGCGUGGGGAUCAAACAGGAUUAGAUACCCUGGUAGUCCACGCAGUA
rnacentral:rRNA from 1 species